GAUGAACGCUGGCGGCGUGCCUAAUACAUGCAAGUAGAACGCUGACGGAAGGAGCUUGCUCUUUCCGGAUGAGUUGCGAACGGGUGAGUAACGCGUAGGUAACCUGCCUGGUAGCGGGGGAUAACUAUUGGAAAAGAUAGCUAAAACCCCAUAACAGUAGCUGUAGCAUGAUAUCUACUUAAAAGGUGCAAUUCCACCACUACCAGAUGGACCUGCGUUGUAUUAGCUAGGUGGUGAGGUAACGGCUCACCAAGGCGACGAUACAUAGCCGACCUGAGAGGGUGAUCGGCCACACUGGGACUGAGACACGGCCCAGACUCCUACGGGAGGCAGCAGUAGGGAAUCUUCGGCAAUAGACGGAAGGCUGACCGAGCAACGCCGCGUGGGUGAAGAAGGUUUUCGGAUCGGAAAGCUCUGUUGUAAGAGAAGAACGAGUGUGAGGGUGGAAAGUUCACACUGUGACGGUAUCUUAACAGAAAGGGACGGCUAACUACGUG
rnacentral:rRNA from 1 species